GGGACAAGCUCCACCCCCUCCCUCGUGGGUCUCGUGGGUCUCGUGGACUGGCCGUUGGAUGGAGCGUCGUCUACACAGCCCUUCCGCCUCGAAACCUCUGCAGGAUCCCCGCACGGACGGCACGGUUUUCCUUCGCUCUAGGGGUAAUAACCUCUUCCAAGAACUUUUUUAUUCAAGCCAAAACGCAGCAAAUCGGAGGUCACCGAUUUUUCUCCGAGGAAAACGAUGCUUCUCUCCUCCUUGGAGUCGGUUCUGUGAAACACAAGUGCUCCAAGGCGUCCCAAUCUGCGGCGUCCUUUGAAAUUGUAUCCCGUGUGUGUUGGAGCUGAGCCAAUUAACAGGAAGAGAAUUGGGUGGAUUGCAGAGAAGCUGGCAAGACUGUGUUUACCAAUUAGUUUUUUUUAUGAUGCAAAUGUCGCGCCGCAUGCGGCAGGAAUAAAAGCUAGCUAUGCUGAA